UACGUAGGUGGCAAGCGUUGUCCGGAAUUAUUGGGCGUAAAGCGCGCGCAGGCGGUCCUUUAAGUCUGAUGUGAAAGCCCACGGCUCAACCGUGGAGGGUCAUUGGAAACUGGGGGACUUGAGUACAGAAGAGGAAAGCGGAAUUCCACGUGUAGCGGUGAAAUGCGUAGAGAUGUGGAGGAACACCAGUGGCGAAGGCGCUUUCUGGUCUGUGAACUGACGCUGAGGCGCGAAGCGUGGGAGCAAACAGG
rnacentral:rRNA from 1 species